AUUGAACGCUGGCGGCAGGCCUAACACAUGCAAGUCGAGCGGAGCGGCGGACGGGUGAGUAAUGCCUAGGAAUCUGCCUGGUCGUGGGGGAUAACGUCCGGAAACGGGCGCUAAUACCGCAUACUAUCAGAUGAGCCUAGGUCGGAUUAGCUAGUUGGUGGGGUAAAGGCCUACCAAGGCGACGAUCCGUAACUGGUCUGAGAGGAUGAUCAGUCACACUGGAAAUGGGACACGGGCCCGACUCCUAAGGGAGGCAGGAGGGGGGAAUAUUGGACAAUGGGGGAAAGCCUGAUCCAGCCAAGGCGCGUGGGUGAAGAAGGGCUUCGGAUUUGAAAGGAACUUAAGUUGGGAGGCGUUACCAACAGAAUAAGCACCGGCUAACUUCGUGCCAGCAGCCGCGGUAAUAC
rnacentral:rRNA from 1 species